rnacentral:lncRNA from 1 species
AGACAAAUCAUGAAAUAGUGAAAAAUAAGGUAACAAGCAGAGCUUCUACCUCCUUCUGUGUCAUUCUAACGCUUGGAUCCCAGGAAAAUAUUUGGAACUCCGUUAUUUCCUGUGAGAAUUCUAUACCUCUUAGUUCAGAGAAGGACAGUUUUAGAGACCCUGUUACCUUAAGGUAGGAUUGUGUCCUCAAAAGGUUUUUAUGUUUAUUUUGGACCCUGCUGCCUGAACUCCACCAAGCAGAGUAAUAAGUUCCAUAUGCCCAUUUUUUUGAAG